AUUGAACGCUGGCGGCAGGCCUAACACAUGCAAGUCGGACGGUAGCACAGAGAGCUUGCUCUUGGGUGACGAGUGGCGGACGGGUGAGUAAUGUCUGGGGAUCUGCCCGAUAGAGGGGGACAACCACUGGAAACGGUGGCUAAUACCGCAUAACGUCGCAAGACCAAAGAGGGGGACCUUCGGGCCUCUCACUAUCGGAUGAACCCAGAUGGGAUUAGCUAGUAGGCGGGGUAAUGGCCCACCUAGGCGACGACCCCUAGCUGGUCUGAGAGGAUGACCAGCCACACUGGAACGGAGACACGGUCCAGACUCCUACGGGAGGCAGAAGUGGGGAAUAUUGCACAAGGGGCGCAAGCCUGAUGCAGCCAUGCCGCGUGUAUGAAGAAGGCCUUCGGGUUGUAAAGUACUUUCAGCGGGGAGGAAGGCGGUGCGGUUAAUAACCGUACCGAUUGACGUUACCCGCAGAAGAAGCACCGGCUAACUCCGUGCCAGCCGCCGCCGUAA
rnacentral:rRNA from 1 species